AGUGAACGCUGGCGGUAGGCCUAACACAUGCAAGUCGAACGGCAGCACAGUAAGAGCUUGCUCUUACGGGUGGCGAGUGGCGGACGGGUGAGGAAUACAUCGGAAUCUACUUUUUCGUGGGGGAUAACGUAGGGAAACUUACGCUAAUACCGCAUACGACCUACGGGUGAAAGCAGGGGAUCUUCGGACCUUGCGCGAUUGAAUGAGCCGAUGUCGGAUUAGCUAGUUGGCGGGGUAAAGGCCCACCAAGGCGACGAUCCGUAGCUGGUCUGAGAGGAUGAUCAGCCACACUGGAACUGAGACACGGUCCAGACUCCUACGGGAGGCAGCAGUGGGGAAUAUUGGACAAUGGGCGCAAGCCUGGUCCAGCCAUACCGCGUGGGUGAAGAAGGCCUUCGGGUUGUAAAGCCCUUUUGUUGGGAAAGAAAAGCAGCAGGUUAAUACCCCGCUGUUCUGACGGUACCAAAGAAUAAGCACCGGCUAACUUCGUG
rnacentral:rRNA from 1 species